UACGAAGGUCCCGAGCGUUGCUCGGAAUCACUGGGCGUAAAGGGAGCGUAGGCGGCGUGGUAAGUCAGAUGUGAAAUCCCGGGGCUCAACCCCGGAACUGCAUCCGAUACUGCCGUGCUCGAGGGUUGGAGAGGUAGCUGGAAUUAUCGGUGUAGCAGUGAAAUGCGUGGAUAUCGAUAGGAACACUCGUGGCGAAGGCGAGCUACUGGACAACAUCUGACGCUGAGGCUCGAAGGCCAGGGGAGCAAAAGGG
rnacentral:rRNA from 1 species